UACGUAGGUGGCAAGCGUUGUCCGGAAUUAUUGGGCGUAAAGCGCGCGCAGGCGGUUUCUUAAGUCUGAUGUGAAAGCCCACGGCUCAACCGUGGAGGGUCAUUGGAAACUGGGAAACUUGAGUGCAGAAGAGAAGAGCGGAAUUCCACGUGUAGCGGUGAAAUGCGUAGAGAUGUGGAGGAACACCAGUGGCGAAGGCGGCUCUUUGGUCUGUAACUGACGCUGAGGCGCGAAAGCGUGGGGAGCAAACAGG
rnacentral:rRNA from 1 species